rnacentral:lncRNA from 1 species
AGCAGCACCCUUUAUUGGAACUAAUAGUGUGUGAUAAACUGGUUACCGGCUCUACCCGAAGUCCCGUGUUGCUGUUUAAAGGCAGACUUCACCAAAGUGGCUGUUUAUAUGUGCCAGGAUUUUAGCCGAGAUGGUUUGCUAGCUGUAGAGAGUCGGUAGGAUGUUUUCAGUUGCCCCAGUUGGCAAAACCGAGGCUGUGGCCUUAAUAGAAUGUGUUACUUUUGCAUCGAGAGAGUCGGAUGAGCUUCACACACGUAAUAGCUACAUUUGCAGAAGAGACCUUCCAGUUUGUGUGUGUUAUUGUCAGAAACAGCAGCUGUACAUAUUAUAACUUGGAAAGCGUAAGACCUUCCAGGUGUUGGAGUGUUGGGACGCUUAGGAGGCAUUCUUGCUGCCCAGCGCUGUGGAGGUUGCAGGAGGCUUUGCAUUCCCUUCCACUUAGGGUGGCUGGCCGCGCAGAU